CCCUGGGAGGAGCAAGUCGUGGGCCGCCUUUGGGCUCAGCGGAUGGAGGCGCGGGGUGGGGUGGAGUCCUAAAGCGCACAGACUCGAAUUGCAGACGUUUUUUGAACACUCAGAGGAGCGAACUUCACCCAGCAGCUACUAAGUGGAAGAACUGGUAUUGGAACCCGAUCUAUCUGACUUCAGAGUUCCACAUCUUCCUGCCAGGAUUCUACCAAGAUCCCCCAUUGCAUUUGUUUUCACUUCCCCUUAGUCUCCUCCAAUCUGUGACAAUUCUUCAGUGUGUCCUAGUCUUUCAAGACUUUAACUUUUGGUAAGUACUGGUCAGUUAUUUUGUAGAAUGUCACUCAAUUUAAUUUACUUAGCAGCUUUCUAAUUACAUACCAUAUAGUUCACUCAUCUAAUGUGUACAUUUCAAUGUUUUUAGUAUAUUUAACAGAGAUGUGCAACUAUCACCAUAAUCUAAUUUUGGUACACUUUCAUCAUCCCAUAAAGAAAUUUUAUACCAAUCAGUAGUAAGUCCCCUUUCCUCCCAACCCAAUGCUGUCUCCUUCUCCAUCAGCCUAAGUCAGCUCCUUGUCUACUUUGUAUGUCUAUGGAUUCUCUAUGGAUGUGCCUAUUUUGAACAUUUCAUAUAAAUGGUAU